GUGCCAGCAGCCGCGGUAAUACCAGCUCUCCGAGUGGUGGGGACGUUUAUUGGGCCUAAAGCAUCCGUAGCCAGCUGAGCAAGUCCCCAGUUAAAUCCAGCGAUUUAAUCGUUGGACUGCUGGGGAUACUGUCCGGCUAGGGGGUGGGAGAGGCCGACGGUAUUCCCGGGGUAGGGGUGAAAUCCUAUAAUCCCGGGAGGACCACCAGUGGCGAAGGCUGUUGGCUAAAACAUGCCCGACGGUGAGGGAUGAAAGCUGGGGGAGCGAACCGGAUUAGAUACCCGGGUAGUCCCAGCUGUAAACGAUGCAGGCUAGGUGUUAGGGCGGCCACGUGCCGCUCUAGUGCCGCAGGGAAGCUGUUAAGCCUGCCGCCUGGGGAGUACGGCCGCAAGGCUGAAACUUAAAUGAAUUGACGGGG
rnacentral:rRNA from 1 species